CCUACGGGAGGCUGCAGUGGGGAAUAUUGCACAAUGGGGGAAACCCUGAUGCAGCGACGCCGCGUGAGUGAGGAAGUAUUUCGGUAUGUAAAGCUCUAUCAGCAGGGAAGAAAAUGACGGUACCUGAGUAAGAAGCCCCGGCUAACUACGUGCCAGCAGCCGCGGUAAUACGUAGGGGGCAAGCGUUAUCCGGAUUUACUGGGUGUAAAGGGAGCGUAGACGGCUAUGCAAGUCAGGAGUGAAAGGCGGGGGCUCAACCUGCGGAGUGCUCUGGAAACUGUACAGCUAGAGUGCAGGAGAGGUAAGUGGAAUUCCUAGUGUAGCGGUGAAAUGCGUAGAUAUUAGGAGGAACACCAGUGGCGAAGGCGGCUUACUGGACUGUAACUGACGUUGAGGCUCGAAAGCGUGGGGAGCAAACAGGAUUAGAUACCCUUGUAGUC
rnacentral:rRNA from 1 species